rnacentral:rRNA from 1 species
CCUACGGGAGACAGCAGUGGGGGAUAUUGCACAAUGGGGGAAACCCUGAUGCAGCGACGCCGCGUGGGCGAAGAAGUAUUUCGGUAUGUAAAGCCCUAUCAGCAGGGAAGAAGAAAUGACGGUGCCUGCGUAAGCAGCCCCGGCUAAAUUCGUGCCAGCCGCCGGGGUAAUACGUAGGGUGCAAGCGUUAUCCGGAUUUACUGGGUGUAAAGGGAGCGCAGGCGGCACUGCAAGGCUGAUGUGAAAGCCCGGGGCCCAACCGCGGGACUGCAUUGGGAACUACCGGGCUGGAGUGCCGGAGAGGUAGGCGGAAUUCCUAGUGUAGCGGUGAAAUGCGUAGAUAUUAGGAGGAACACCAGUGGCGAAGGCGGCCUACUGGACGGUGACUGACGCUGAGGCUCGAAAGCGUGGGGAGCAAACAGGAUUAGAUACCCUGGUAGUC